AUACGGAAGGUGCAAGCGUUAAUCGGAAUUACUGGGCGUAAAGCGCGCGUAGGUGGCUUGGUCAGUCGGGUGUGAAAUCCCAGGGCCCAACCCUGGAACUGCAUUCGAAACUGCUUCGCUAGAGUCGCGGAGAGGAUGGCGGAAUUCCCGGUGUAGGGGUGAAAUCCGUAGAUAUCGGGAGGAACACCAGUGGCGAAGGCGGCCAUCUGGACGCUGACUGACGCUCAGACCCGAAAGCGUGGGGAGCAAACAGGAUUAGAAACCCGGGUAGUCC
rnacentral:rRNA from 1 species